rnacentral:rRNA from 1 species
GAUGAACGCUAGCGGCAGGCCUAAUACAUGCAAGACGAACGGUAAGAUUUUUAGCAAUAAGAGUCCUAGAGUGUCGUAAGGGUGCGUAACACGUAUGCAAUCUGCCCUCAACAGGAGGAUAGCUCCCCGAAAGGGGAAUUAACACUCCAUAAGAUCACAUAAUGGCAUCAUUGAGUGAUUAAAACUACGGUGGUUGAGGAUGAGCGUGCGCAUGAUUAGUUAGUUGGCGGGGUAACGGCCCACCAAGACGAUGAUCAUUAGGGGAACUGAGAGGUUGAUCCCCCACACUGGCACUGGGAUACGGGCCAGACGCCUGCGGGAGGCAGCAGUAGGGAAUAUUGGACAAUGGGUGCGAGCCUGAUCCAGCCAUGCCGCGUGCAGGAAGACGGCCUUCUGGGUUGUAAACUGCUUUUGCCAGGGGAUAAAACGUUCCUGCGGGGAUAAUUGAAGGUACCCGGUGAAUAAGCCACGGCUAACUACGUGCCAGCCGCCGCCGUAA